ACCAGCUCUUCAAGUGGUCGGGAAUAUUAUUGGGCUUAAAGUGUCCGUAGCCGGUUUGAUAAGUUCCUGGUUAAAUCUGGCAGCUUAACUGUCAGUUGGCUAGGAAUACUAUCUUACUAGAGGGUGGGAAAGGUCUGAGGUACUCCAGGGGUAGCGGUGAAAUGCUAUAAUCCUUGGGGGACCACCAGUGGCGAAGGCGUCGGACUGGAACGUGCCUGACGGUGAGGGGCGAAAGCCAGGGGAGCGAACCGGAUUAGAUACCCGGGUAGUCCUGGCCGUAAACGAUGCAUACUAGGUGAUGGCCCGGCCAUGAGCUGUGUCAGUGCCGUAGGGAAACCGUUAAGUGUGCCGCCUGGGAAGUACGGUCGCAAGGCUAAAACUUAAGGAAUUGGCGGGGGAGCACCACAAGGGUGAAGCCUGCGGUUC
rnacentral:rRNA from 1 species